rnacentral:rRNA from 1 species
GAUGAACGCUGGCGGCGUGCCUAAUACAUGCAAGUCGAGCGAGGUAGCAAUACCUAGCGGCGAACGGGUGAGUAACGCGUGGGUAAUCUACCCUGUAAGUGGGGGAUAACCCUCCGAAAGGAGGGCUAAUACCGCAUAAUAUCUUCACUUCUAAAAGAAGAGAAGAUUAAAGAUGGCCUCUGUCUUAAGCUAUCGCUUCAGGAUGAGCCUGCGUCCUAUUAGUUAGUUGGUGGGUAAGUGGCCUACCAAGACCACAAUGGGUAGCCGGUCUGAGAGGAUGUACGGCCACACUGGGACUGAGAUACGGCCCAGACACCUACGGGUGGCAG